rnacentral:rRNA from 1 species
AUGAACGCUGGCGGCGUGCCUAAUACAUGCAAGUCGAGCGAAUGGAUUGAGAGCUUGCUCUCAAGAAGUUAGCGGCGGACGGGUGAGUAACACGUGGGUAACCUGCCCAUAAGACUGGGAUAACUCCGGGAAACCGGGGCUAAUACCGGAUAACAUUUUGAACUGCAUGGUUCGAAAUUGAAAGGCGGCUUCGGCUGUCACUUAUGGAUGGACCCGCGUCGCAUUAGCUAGUUGGUGAGGUAAUGGCUCACCAAGGCAACGAUGAGUAGCCGACCUGAGAGGGUGAUCGGCCACACUGGGACUGAGACACGGCCCAGACUCCUACGGGAGGCAGCAGUAGGGAAUCUUCCGCAAUGGACGAAAGUCUGACGGAGCAACGCCGCGUGAGUGAUGAAGGCUUUCGGGUCGUAAAACUCUGUUGUUAGGGAAGAACAAGUGUUAGUUGAAUAAGCUGGCACCUUGACGGUACCUAACCAGAAAGCCACGGCUAACUACGUGCCAGCAGCCGCGGUAAUACGUAGGUGGCAAGCGUUAUCCGGAAUUAUUGGGCGUAAAGCGCGCGCAGGUGGUUUCUUAAGUCUGAUGUGAAAGCCCACGGCUCAACCGUGGAGGGCCAUUGGAAACUGGGAGACUUGAGUGCAGAAGAGGAAAGUGGAAUUCCAUGUGUAGCGGUGAAAUGCGUAGAGAUAUGGAGGAACACCAGUGGCGAAGGCGACUUUCUGGUCUGUAACUGACACUGAGGCGCGAAAGCGCGGGGAGCAAACAGGAUUAGAUACCCUGGUAGUCCACGCCGUAAACGAUGAGUGCUAAGUGUUAGAGGGUUUCCGCCCUUUAGUGCUGAAGUUAACGCAUUAAGCACUCCGCCUGGGGAGUACGGCCGCAAGGCUGAAACUCAAAGGAAAUGGACGGG